CGCAGAGAUCAGCGGAGCAGCGAACUGAGAGCGGGGCGGGCACCGCCGGCGGAGGGGUGUCAGUGCUGUGCCACCGCUGCGGGUGUGAGCCUGGCGGGCGGCAAGCCGAGGAAAUUGCCUUGGAAGCCGUGUAAGGUGCUCAAAGGCUGCUCUACCGUUGGAACCAAAAUUAACUUUUUGGAAUGGAAACAAACAAACAAAAACCCCAAACCCACCCAAGCGUGAAUUAUUUCAGUCUGCCGCACACAUUGUGAGUCUGAACACGUCUGCAGCGACGGGAUUCCCCUUCUCGACCAUUGCUUCUACAGCAACACGAGGACUUUGUGCUCUCAGCUUGCAUUUUCUAUUAUUAACAGCUCUGACUUCCUGCUAUGUAAAUUCUGGCUUAGGCCCCUCAAAACCCCAAAGGAAGCGCUCAGACUCCAGGUAGUGCCCCCCUGUGUGCCGCUCACAGCCCGGCAGUCGGAGCUGCCGCAGAGCCCAGCACGGUUCUGGAGGGAAACGUGCGCCCUUCCCAGCCGUGUUUACUGCCCGUUGUGGCAGCGCUGCAGGCUGUGGCUCAGCUCUGCACGUGUUCUCCUCUCUCCCCUCCUC
ensembl:lncRNA